rnacentral:rRNA from 1 species
GAUGAACGCUGGCGGCGUGCCUAAUACAUGCAAGUCGAGCGAACGGACGAGAAGCUUGCUUCUCUGAUGUUAGCGGCGGACGGGUGAGUAACACGUGGAUAACCUACCUAUAUGACUGGGAUAACUUCGGGAAACCGGAGCUAAUACCGGAUAAUAUUUUGAACCGCAUGGUUCAAAAGUGAAAGACGGUCUUGCUGUCACUUAUAGAUGGAUCCGCGCUGCAUUAGCUAGUUGGUAAGGUAACGGCUUACCAAGGCAACGAUGCAUAGCCGACCUGAGAGGGUGAUCGGCCACACUGGAACUGAGACACGGUCCAGACUCCUACGGGAGGCAGCAGUAGGGAAUCUUCCGCAAUGGGCGAAAGCCUGACGGAGCAACGCCGCGUGAGUGAUGAAGGUCUUCGGAUCGUAAAACUCUGUUAUUAGGGAAGAACAUAUGUGUAAGUAACUGUGCACAUCUUGACGGUACCUAAUCAGAAAGCCACGGCUAACUACGUGCCAGCAGCCGCGGUAAUACGUAGGUGGCAAGCGUUAUCCGGAAUUAUUGGGCGUAAAGCGCGCGUAGGCGGUUUUUUAAGUCUGAUGUGAAAGCCCACGGCUCAACCGUGGAGGGUCAUUGGAAACUGGAAAACUUGAGUGCAGAAGAGGAAAGUGGAAUUCCAUGUGUAGCGGUGAAAUGCGCAGAGAUAUGGAGGAACACCAGUGGCGAAGGCGACUUUCUGGUCUGUAACUGACGCUGAUGUGCGAAAGCGUGGGGAUCAAACAGGAUUAGAUACCCUGGUAGUCCACGCCGUAAACGAUGAGUGCUAAGUGUUAGGGGGUUUCCGCCCCUUAGUGCUGCAGCUAACGCAUUAAGCACUCCGCCUGGGGAGUACGACCGCAAGGUUGAAACUCAAAGGAAUUGACGGGGACCCGCACAAGCGGUGGAGCAUGUGGUUUAAUUCGAAGCAACGCGAAGAACCUUACCAAAUCUUGACAUCCUUUGACAACUCUAGAGAUAGAGCUUUCCCCUUCGGGGGACAAAGUGACAGGUGGUGCAUGGUUGUCGUCAGCUCGUGUCGUGAGAUGUUGGGUUAAGUCCCGCAACGAGCGCAACCCUUAAGCUUAGUUGCCAUCAUUAAGUUGGGCACUCUAAGUUGACUGCCGGUGACAAACCGGAGGAAGGUGGGGAUGACGUCAAAUCAUCAUGCCCCUUAUGAUUUGGGCUACACACGUGCUACAAUGGACAAUACAAAGGGCAGCGAAACCGUGAGGUCAAGCAAAUCCCACAAAGUUGUUCUCAGUUCGGAUUGUAGUCUGCAACUCGACUACAUGAAGCUGGAAUCGCUAGUAAUCGUAGAUCAGCAUGCUACGGUGAAUACGUUCCCGGGUCU